rnacentral:rRNA from 1 species
AGAGUUUGAUCCUGGCUCAGAACGAACGCUGGCGGCGUGGAUAAGACAUGCAAGUCGAACGGGACACCAUGAGUAGCAAUACAAGUGGUGUCUAGUGGCGAACGGGUGCGUAACACGUGGAUACAUUCCGGGAAGCGGGGGAUAGCCCAGGGAAACUUGGAUUAAUACCGCAUGUGGUCGAAAGACUAAAGGCAGGGACCGCAAGGCCUGCCACUUCCCGAUUGGUCCGCGGCCUAUCAGCUAGUUGGCGGGGUAAAAGCCCACCAAGGCUACGACGGGUAGCUGGUCUUAGAGGACGACCAGCCACACUGGAACUGAGACACGGUCCAGACACCUACGGGUGGCAGCAGUCGAGAAUCUUUCACAAUGGGGGCAACCCUGAUGGAGCGACGCCGCGUGGAGGAUAAGGUCUUCGGAUUGUAAACUCCUGUCAUGUGUGAACAAGGUUGUCGUGUUAAUAGCAUGGCAAAUUGAUGGUAACACAAGAGGAAGAGACGGCUAACUCUGUGCCAGCAGCCGCGGUAAUACAGAGGUCUCAAGCGUUGUUCGGAAUCACUGGGCGUAAAGGGUGCGUAGGUGGCGUGGAAAGUCAGAUGUGAAAGCCCGGGGCUCAACCUCGGAAUUGCAUCCG